UGCGAUAAGUAGGUCGGGACACGUGAUAUCUUGACUGAAGAUGGGGGGACCAUCCUCCAAGGCUAAAUACUACCAACUGACCGAUAGUGAACCAGUACCGUGAGGGAAAGGCGAAAAGAACCCCGGAGAGGGGAGUGAAAUAGAACCUGAAACCGUGUACGUACAAGCAGUGGGAGCCCUUCGGGGUGACUGCGUACCUUUUGUAUAAUGGGUCAGCGACUUAUUGUCUGUAGCAAGCUUAACCGUUUAGGGGAGGCGUAGGGAA
rfam:Halioglobus sp. HI00S01 HI00S01_c758, whole genome shotgun sequence.